rnacentral:rRNA from 1 species
GACGAACGCUGGCGGCGUGCUUAACACAUGCAAGUCGAACGGAAAGGCCCUGCUUUUGUGGGGUGCUCGAGUGGCGAACGGGUGAGUAACACGUGAGUAACCUGCCCUUGACUUUGGGAUAACUUCAGGAAGCUGGGGCUAAUACCGGAUAGGAGCUCCUGCUGCAUGGUGGGGGUUGGAAAGUUUCGGCGGUUGGGGAUGGACUCGCGGCUUAUCAGCUUGUUGGUGGGGUAGUGGCUUACCAAGGCUUUGACGGGUAGCCGGCCUGAGAGGGUGACCGGCCACAUUGGGACUGAGAUACGGCCCAGACUCCUACGGGAGGCAGCAGUGGGGAAUAUUGCACAAUGGGCGGAAGCCUGAUGCAGCAACGCCGCGUGCGGGAUGACGGCCUUCGGGUUGUAAACCGCUUUCGCCUGUGACGAAGCGUGAGUGACGGUAAUGGGGAAAGAAACACCGGCUAACUACGU